rnacentral:rRNA from 1 species
AUCCGGGUUGCGGACAGUGUCUGGUGGGUAGUUUGACUGGGGCGGUCUCCUCCUAAAGAGUAACGGAGGAGCACGAAGGUUGGCUAAUCCUGGUCGGACAUCAGGAGGUUAGUGUAAUGGCAUAAGCCAGCUUGACUGCGAGCGUGACGGCGCGAGCAGGUGCGAAAGCAGGUCAUAGUGAUCCGGUGGUUCUGAAUGGAAGGGCCAUCGCUCAACGGAUAAAAGGUACUCCGGGGAUAACAGGCUGAUACCGCCCAAGAGUUCAUAUCGACGGCGGUGUUUGGCACCUCGAUGUCGGCUCAUCACAUCCUGGGGCUGAAGUAGGUCCCAAGGGUAUGGCUGUUCGCCAUUUAAAGUGGUACGCGAGCUGGGUUUAGAACGUCGUGAGACAGUUCGGUCCCUAUCUGCCGUGGGCGCUGGAGAACUGAGGGGGGCUGCUCCUAGUACGAGAGGACCGGAGUGGACGCAUCACUGGUGUUCGGGUUGUCAUGCCAAUGGCACUGCCCGGUAGCUAAAUGCGGAAGAGAUAAGUGCUGAAAGCAUCUAAGCACGAAACUUGCCCCGAGAUGAGUUCUCCCUGAGACUUAGAGUCUCCUGAAGGAACGUUGAAGACGACGACGUUGAUAGGCCGGGUGUGUAAGCGCAGCGAUGCGUUGAGCUAACCGGUACUAAUGAACCGUGAGGCUUAACCUUACAACGCCGAAG